AGCGAACGCUGGCGGCAGGCCUAACACAUGCAAGUCGAACGAACCUUUCGGGGUUAGUGGCGGACGGGUGAGUAACACGUGGGAACGUGCCUUUAGGUUCGGAAUAACUCAGGGAAACUUGUGCUAAUACCGAAUGUGCCCUUCGGGGGAAAGAUUUAUCGCCUUUAGAGCGGCCCGAGUCUGAUUAGCUAGUUGGUUGAGGUAAUGGCUCACCAAGGCGACGAUCAGUAGCUGGUCUGAGAGGAUGAUCAGCCACAUUGGGACUGAGACACGGCCCAAACUCCUACGGGAGGCAGCAGUGGGGAAUCUUGCGCAAUGGGCGAAAGCCUGACGCAGCCAUGCCGCGUGAAUGAUGAAGGUCUUAGGAUUGUAAAAUUCUUUCACCGGGGACGAUAAUGACGGUACCCGGAGAAGAAGCCCCGGCUAACUUCGUG
rnacentral:rRNA from 1 species